AUAACAUGUAGUCCUAUACUCAUUAAGAUUCUGGAUUCAGGCACUUCUUGAAUAAGAUUACAUGGUCACCAUGAAGUAGGUAAGAUAAAAUGACAGACAACCUCUUUCAACAGCAUGCGCAAAAAUUCAUCAUUUUGGUUUGAAGUAAUAGAGGGAAUGCAUUUAGGAAUUUUGAAGUGAUUGUAACUUGCUACCGAAAGAAUUUAGUGCAGAGUGAAACAGAAAGGUAAUAUUUUGACUGAAUGGUUCAUAAAAUUCCUAAUUGAGUCCUUCUGGCGUUUUCUCAUGGACUCUUUGCAAAGAAAAGUCCAUACGGACAAUAAUCCUAAUUCCUGACCCGAGAUCUUCUCUCCUUAUAAAAACAAUUUACACCGGCGGAAUGCACAUUGUUUCUCUCGCGGCUCUCUCCAAUCCGUCACUACCGAACCAUUAAACCAGCGUCGCAAACAGCAGGGCAUGUUCUGAGUUGAAGAGGAUUACCAUUUCCUCAAAUGGAAACAGCAUUUUGUGUUCAAUCCUUCGAGGAUGAUAAGAAAAGAUGGGCCGAGCUUAGGGAAAAGUUAAUACAAGAAAAAUUAAGUCGGGAGGCUCUGGCGAAAAGUCACCUUCACAACUUUCCUGAAUAUGACCAUCUUUUGGUUUAUUCACCAGAGGAUAGUCUGUAUCUCAUGGAUGAUUCAUUCCCAGAACUCAUGGAAGUCAUAGAACUCCUUGAAAAAGAGAUUGAGCUAAAUUAAAGUUCAAGUGAUUACACUAAAGCUAAUACUGCCCGCGAGGAAGCUAGUGGAGGGAACAACUUCGAUAAAAUCUCAACAACGUCACCCCGGUGAAGCACGCUUUCUGCACACAGAUAUCUUCCAGAGGCGGAUGGAGUUUCGUAAGCAAGGAUAUGAGCUAAGGCUACAUCUUUGACAUGAACAUAGGCUUGA